AAUAAAUGCAGUUUUACACUGUUCAUGUCCAACAUUUGACCGUUUAUUUUAUUUGAAAUUUUUUUAUGAUUAAUAUUUUUGUUAUUAGAUGAUAAAACAUGAAAAUCACUUUAUGUAUAACUAUUUUUUUAUUUUUUUUAUAUUUUUUUAAAUAAGACGGACGGCUAAACGUUGGAUAUGGAUACCCACAGCUGCACUUAUC
rfam:Oryza rufipogon genomic scaffold, chr06